CCAGAUCCAAUCGGCGGCUGCGUGGUCCGGCGGCCUCGGUGGCUCCCUCCACCCUCCGCCGCGGCCGCGGCCGCCCCCGCCCCGCCUCCGAGAUCCGGCCACCUCCGUCCUCCGUACCCCCAGCACGCCUCCACCCUCCGCCGCGGCCGCGGCCGCCCCCGCCCCGCCUCCGAGAUCCGGCCACCUCCGUCCUCCGUACCCCCAGCACGCCUCCUCCGUCCGCCGCCCGGUCGUAUUGUUACCUUGGGUCUGGGCAGGGUGGUCUCGCCGGAUCGCCGUCCACGUCCGGAACCCGGCGACAGACACGGCGCUCUUGGGCACAAGGACCUGCCACCAGCCCGCCGACUUUGGAUUCUUGCUUACAAUGUUGCCUGUUCCGAGGGGAAGGGGGUGUUGGUCGGUGGUGAUGGGUGCAGAGGAAGAGGGGCGAUUUUGAUACUGUUCUUGGGUGGAGGGGUGCAGGGCUGAGAAGGGCGAUGGGGGCGGGGGAGGAGGAUGCGGCGGCGGCAUGGGAGAAGGUGGAGGCCAAGGAGGAGAGGAUCAUGGUUUCCGUGCGGGUGCGGCCCCUAAACGGCAGGGAGUCCGGCGACAGCUCCGACCGGGAGUGCAUCAGCCCCACCACCGUCAUGUUCCGGAGUACCGUCCCUGACCGCGCCAUGUUCCCCACCGCCUACACCUAUGACAGGGUGUUUGGCCCCAAUUGCUCUACCAGACAGGUCUACGAGGAAGGAGCAAAAGAAGUUGCUCUAUCAGUUGUCAGUGGAAUCAACUGUAUCGUAUUUGCGUAUGGGCAAACAAGCAGCGGAAAGACUUACACAAUGACUGGAAUUACUGAGUACAUUGUUAUGGACAUUUAUGACUACAUAGAAAAGCACCCUGAAAGAGAAUUCAUGCUGAAAUUCUCAGCAAUAGAGUUAUAUAAUGAAGCUGUGAGGGAUCUUCUGAGCCAUGAUACGACACCUCUUAGACUGCUUGAUGAUCCUGAGAAAGGGACUAUUGUUGAAAAGCUUACCGAGGAAACAUUGAGGGACAAGGACCAUCUUAGGGAUCUUCUUGGAAUGUGUGAAGCUCAAAGAGAGAUUGGAGAAACGGCUUUGAACGAAGCGAGUUCUAGGUCCCACCAAAUACUCAGGCUGACAAUCGAAAGUUCUGUUAAACAGUAUUUAGGAAGAAGCAAAUCGAGCACCCUGGUGUCUUGUGUGAACUUUGUUGACCUAGCUGGAAGUGAGCGAGCAUCUCAGACUGCUUCAGCUGGUAUGAGGUUAAAAGAAGGUAGUCAUAUUAAUUGAAGUCUGCUAACACUCGGAAAGGUUGUUCGCCAACUCAGAUUUGGAAGAAAUGGUCAUAUCCCUUAUAGAGAUUCAAAGCUGACACGCAUAUUACAGUCCUCUUUGGGAGGCAAUGCAAGAACAGCCAUUGUCUGCACCAUGAGCCCUGCACACACUCAUAUUGAGCAAUCCAGGAACACACUUCUGUUUGCGACUUGCGCAAAGGAGGUAGUUACAAAUGCACAGGUCAAUGUAGUGAUGUCUGACAAAGCACUACUGAAGCAUCUACAGAGAGAGCUCGCAAGAUUAGAAAAUGAACUGAAAAUUCGGGUCGAUGAGCUUGGCAGUAUGCUUCAGGCACGCGUUUAUGGUGGGCGAGCUCGACAGCUUCGAGAUGGCCGUCAGUGCCCGCCCCGUAGUGAUGGCGAGGGGCAGAUUCAGUAACUACCUGUUGCAGACCGCCGUCGAGCAUGGCACCCAUAUGAACAGGUAUAUCAUCUUGGAUCGGAUCAAGACGGACCUCGUGGGUCUGUCACGCCACCAGCACGGGCACUACGUCGUGCAGUCACUCUUCCUGAAGACGACUGGCGAGUCCCAGGGCGAGCUGCUACGGCGCCUCAUCAAGGCGUUCGGAAACCUGGACGUGGCACAGCUUAUCGAGCUGGUGCGUGAUCCUUUCGCCAGUCAUGUCCUCAGCAACCUGCUUGACACAGCCAGGAUCCACUUGAAGGGCCGAUUCGGAUGGAGGCUGGCAAAGAAGCUCGCUUCGCUACAAGUCUAUCAACUAGGUCUGGAAGUAGGGAACUCCAACGUCCCGCGGGUGGUGUACUCCUUGAAUCGGAUGGGCAUUAGACUAUAGUUACCGAUUCUGUGUUCUUACAAUGUUGUGGAUCUCAAGUUUUCUCGGGAAGGCUCGAUGUGGCCACGGUGCCUUGGUUCGAAUUGUCAGUGCGAGCCUAAUAUGUACGUCUGUACCGUACUACAUAAUUGAUGUCCGUUUAUGUUGCACGCAGCAAACAAUGUUGAGUAACGAAUUCGUCUCCCCUUGAAAGGUUA